UGUAUAGGUCACAUUUGGAUUGUUAGUUUGAGGAUUGCAUCGCUAUGUAAGCAGGGUGGCACAGUCAUCCGCCUGUGAAGUCAUGGCUCAUUACGCCAAAAGCGUGGCCACUUGUUAGGCAUUGAGAAGGUCGGACUGGAUGCUGAGCUGGCCACUACAAAGUUGCAAAUAUUCUUUUGAUUUUGUGAGUGCAACUUUUAAUUCAAACCUUAACUUUAUACACUUGUUCAUUUAUUUCUCUUACCAACUGUGGAAGUGAACUUCAAAUUUAGGAUCGAUAUGUCCAAACUGGAACAAAAAUCUCCAGGAGUGCUAUACUUCCAGUUCUGCUCUUUUGGCUUUGAAAUCCAG